CGUUGUAUAUAUGUACAUUUUCGUUUCGGUUAAAUUUUUUUUCGUCCCGGCUUAAAAGAAUUUAUCCAUUUCGCUUCAGUUUAGUCGGCGUAUAGCGUACGAUUCGUACAAACAUUUCGAAUUAUUAGUGCUUGUUACUCAGUUCAAAUCCUCAAUUAUUGUCAAUUUACGCUGUUUUUUUUUGAGUGCGUUGUUGGCUGUCAGAAAGGAAAAACAACGUGUGUACAUUCAAAGUCUGGUUGUCGCGAAUUUGAGAUAACAACUCUACCGAAACAUUUCACUCAUUUAAAUCAAAGAUGAUUCCAACGGUUGAUGAGAAUUGCGGAACUUAUUUAACAAAAGAUGAAAAAUCGAAUGUUCGUCGAAACGAUUCAAAUGCACAAUGGACAUUAUGGCCACAUGGUAUGGUUGCGUGUGCCGAUUCUGAUGGCACUAAAAUAGAUAAAAUAUUUCAUUCGUUCGCUAGUCGAACGGAUAAACCGCGAUUAGCACAUGAAGUUUAUUUUCAAUGGCUUACAAUCCCCUCACUUAACGAUGAUAACGUGACCGGCAAGCUAAAAUCGCACACAACGAUGACACAAAAAGAUCUGCUUAUUGCCGCUUAUUCCGGACCUAGCAUAAUGUACCGAAAAUAGGACACACACACACACACUUUUAUCGAUAAAAAUAUGUUUGGCCGCCCGAGUUGGAGUAGUUGCAGCAACAGGCGAUUAAAAGAACGUUUACACUCAUACAGCGAUUUCAUUUCGAUGACAUAAAUUGACAAACCAAAGAUGCCUUCGCUAGAAAAUACGCAUUUAUCCGAUUUCAAAAUGCCAAAGGAAAACAAACCAAAACCAUUUUAGCUAUAUUGAUGUUAAUCUGUAUUUAUUAAUGCAAAGAGGAAAAUAAAAUGGAACCGAAAAAAAACAA